GGCGCUGUGGCUCAAUUGGUAGAGCACCAGCCUUGACCAAAAAGAAGCUCAGGAGCUGGGUGCUGGUGGCUCCCGCCUGUCACCCCAGCUCCU
rnacentral:tRNA from 1 species